rnacentral:misc_RNA from 1 species
CAACCCUCAAGCAAUGCUUGGUCUUGGGCCCCGCCAGUCAUCCGGCGGGCCUUAAAAUCAGUGGCGGUGCCGUCAGGCUCUGAGCGUAGUAAAUCUUCUCGCUACAGGGUCCUGGUGGAUGCUAGCCAGCAACCCCCAAUUUUCUAU